UGGCCAGACUCCUACGGGAGGCAGCAGUGGGGAAUAUUGCACAAUGGGGGGAACCCUGAUGCAGCGACGCCGCGUGGGUGAAGGAGUACUUCGGUUCGUAAAGCCCUAUCAGCAGGAAAGAAAAUGACGGUACCUGACUAAGAAGCCCCGGCUAACUACGUGCCGGCAGCCGCGGUAAUACGUAGGGGGCAAGCGUUAUCCGGAUUUACUGGGUGUAAAGGGAGCGUAGACGGCGGUGCAAGCCAGAUGUGAAAGCCCGGGGCUCAACCCCGGGACUGCAUUUGGAACUGUGCUGCUAGAGUGUCGGAGAGGCAGGCGGAAUUCCUAGUGUAGCGGUGAAAUGCGUAGAUAUUAGGAGGAACACCAGUGGCGAAGGCGGCCUGCUGGACGAUGACUGACGUUGAGGCUCGAAAGCGUGGGGAGCAAACAGGAUUAGAUACCCUAGUA
rnacentral:rRNA from 1 species